GAUGAACGCUGGCGGCGUGCCUAAUACAUGCAAGUCGAACGGAGAACAUCGUAGCAAUACUUUGUUCUUAGUGGCGAACGGGUGAGUAACGCGUUGGUGACCUGCCCCGAAGAGGGGGAUAACAGUCCGAAAGGACUGCUAAUACCCCAUGUGGUCUCAGGGAUUAGAUGCCCUGAGUCUAAAGGAGUAAUCCACUUUGGGAGGGACCUGCGUCCCAUCAGCUAGUUGGUAAGGUAACGGCCUACCAAGGCUUCGACGGGUAGGGGACCUGAGAGGGUGGCCCCCCACAAUAGGAACGUACGAAACAACGGUCCGACUACACCCUACCGGGUGGGCUG
rnacentral:rRNA from 1 species